rnacentral:rRNA from 1 species
GAUGAACGCUGGCGGCGUGCCUAAUACAUGCAAGUCGAGCGAACAGACGAGGAGCUUGCUCCUCUGACGUUAGCGGCGGACGGGUGAGUAACACGUGGAUAUCCUACCUAUAAGACUGGGAUAACUUCGGGAAACCGGAGCUAAUACCGGAUAAUAUAUUGAACCGCAUGGUUCAAUAGUGAAAGACGGUUUUGCUGUCACUUAUAGAUGGAUCCGCGCCGCAUUAGCUAGUUGGUAAGGUAACGGCUUACCAAGGCAACGAUGCGUAGCUGACCUGAGAGGGUGAUCGGCCACACUGGAACUGAGACACGGUCCAGACUCCUACGGGAGGCAGCAGUAGGGAAUCUUCCGCAAUGGGCGAAAGCCUGACGGAGCAACGCCGCGUGAGUGAUGAAGGUCUUCGGAUCGUAAAACUCUGUUAUUAGGGAAGAACAAAUGUGUAAGUAACUAUGCACGUCUUGACGGUACCUAAUCAGAAAGCCACGGCUAACUACGUG